GCCUAACACAUGCAAGUCAGCGGUAACAGAUCCAGCUUGCUGGAUGCUGACGAGCGGCGGCGGGUGAGUAAUGCAUAGGAAUCUGCCCGAUAGUGGGGGAUAACCUGGGGAAACCCAGGCUAAUACCGCAUACGUCCUACGGGAGAAAGGGGGCUCCGGCUCCCGCUAUGGGAUGAGCCUAUGUCGGAUUAGCUGGUUGGUGAGGUAACGGCUCACCAAGGCCACGAUCCGUAGCUGGUCUGAGAGGAUGAUCAGCCACAUCGGGACUGAGACACGGCCCGAACUCCUACGGGAGGCAGCAGUGGGGAAUAUUGGACAAUGGGGGAAACCCUGAUCCAGCCAUGCCGCGUGUGUGAAGAAGGCCCUCGGGUUGUAAAGCACUUUCAGCGAGGAAGAACGCCUAACGGUUAAUACCCGCUAGGAAAGACAUCACUCGCAGAAGAAGCACCGGCUAACUCCGUGCCAGCAGCCGCGGUAAUACGGAGGGUGCAAGCGUUAAUCGGAAUUACUGGGCGUAAAGCGCGCGUAGGUGGAUUGAUAAGCCGGUUGUGAAAGCCCCGGGCUCAACCUGGGAACGGCAUCCGGAACUGUCAAGCUAGAGUGCAGGAGAGGAAGGUAGAAUUCCCGGUGUACGGUGAAAUGCGUAGAGAUC
rnacentral:rRNA from 1 species